UACGGGGGGGCAAGCGUUGUUCGGAAUUACUGGGCGUAAAGGGCUCGUAGGCGGCCAACUAAGUCAGACGUGAAAUCCCUCGGCUUAACCGGGGAACUGCGUCUGAUACUGGAUGGCUUGAAUCCGGGAGAGGGAUGCGGAAUUCCAGGUGUAGCGGUGAAAUGCGUAGAUAUCUGGAGGAACACCGGUGGCGAAGGCGGCAUCCUGGACCGGUAUUGACGCUGAGGCGCGAAAGCCAGGGGAGCAAAG
rnacentral:rRNA from 1 species